rnacentral:lncRNA from 1 species
AGGGCUAAUGAAUUUUCUCUUAUUCACCAGCAAUAUUUUGCCCAGUUGGCAAUGUCAGACAAGCUAUUGCCCCUUCAUGAGYUCUGAUUUGUGUUUUCUUUUCAACUAGCGUUAAGAGCCGGCACAGCUGCUGACCUCCUACCGCCAAAACAUUGGUCUGCCCAAGGCUCUACAGACUGUUUUUAAGCCUUUAAUGAAGCAGGCUGUGUCAGCCAGAGUGGACCUUUCUCUGCUUUGCUACAGCCAUCCUUCUUCUGGACCUGACCACAAGCAUGGAGAGCUGCCUCCRGAGAGAGAACACCCUCAUUUAUUCUCAAAUGCACCUUUCACUCCUGAAUCUCUUCAAGAACAACCUUCCC